rnacentral:rRNA from 1 species
AUUGAACGCUGGCGGCAUGCCUUACACAUGCAAGUCGAACGGUAACGCGCCUUCUGGUGCCGGCGCGUGGCGCACGGGUGCGUAAUACAUCCGAACGUGCCCGAUCGUGGGGGAUAACGAGGCGCAAGCUUUGCUAAUACCGCAUACGAUCUACGGAUGACAUCAGGGGACCGCAAGGCCUUGCGCCGACGGGGCGGCCGAUGGCAGAUUAGGUAGUUGGUGGGAUAAAAGUGUCCCACGCCGACGAUCUGUAGCUGCUGUGAGAGGAUGAUCGGCCACAUGAGGACUGAGACAGGGCCCAGACUACUGCGGGAGGCAGCAGAGGGGAAUGUUGGACAAUGGGCGCAAGCCUGAUCCAGCGAUGCCGCGUGCAGGAUGAAGGCCUUGGGGGUGUAAACUGCUUUUGUGCGGAACGAAAAGCCUUCUUUUAAUACGGGAGGGUCAUGACGGUACCGUAAGAAUAAGCACCGGCUAACUACGUG